UACGUAGGUGGCAAGCGUUAUCCGGAUUUAUUGGGCGUAAAGGGAGCGCAGGCGGUCUUUUAAGUCUGAUGUGAAAGCCUUCGGCUUAACCGGAGUAGUGCAUUGGAAACUGGGAGACUUGAGUGCAGAAGAGGAGAGUGGAACUCCAUGUGUAGCGGUGAAAUGCGUAGAUAUAUGGAAGAACACCAGUGGCGAAAGCGGCUCUCUGGUCUGUAACUGACGCUGAGGUUCGAAAGCGUGGGUAGCAAACAGG
rnacentral:rRNA from 1 species